CUACGGGCGGCUGCAGUGAGGAAUAUUGCACAAUGGGGGGAACCCUGAUGCAGCAACGCCGCGUGGAGGAUGACGCAUUUCGGUGUGUAAACUCCUUUUAUAUGUCAAGAAAAUGACGGUAGCAUAUGAAUAAGCACCGGCUAACUCCGUGCCAGCAGCCACGGUAAUACGGAGGGUGCAAGCGUUACUCGGAAUCACUGGGCGUAAAGGACGCGUAGGCGGGUUGGAAAGUCAGGUGUGAAAUCCUACAGCUUAACUGUAGAACUGCACUUGAAACUUCUAAUCUAGAGUAUGGGAGGGGGAUAUGGAAUUAGUGGUGUAGGGGUAAAAUCCGUAGAUAUCACUAGGAAUACCUAAAGCGAAGGCGAUCUCCUGGAACAUUACUGACGCUAAGGCGUGAAAGCGUGGGGAGCAAACAGGAUUAGAUACCCUGGUAGUC
rnacentral:rRNA from 1 species